rnacentral:rRNA from 1 species
CUUUACUGCAACUUGACGUUGGAACUUGGCUGUAUUUGUGUAGGAUAGGUGGGAGACUUUGAAGCAGGGCCGCCAGGUCUUGCGGAGUCGUCGUUGAAAUACCACCCUGGUGCUGACGAGUUUCUAACCGUGUCCGUAAGCCGGACAUGAGACAGCGUCUGGUGGGCAGUUUGACUGGGGCGGUUGUUUCCUAAAAGGUAACGGAGGCAUUCAAAGGUUUCUUCAGCGUGGUCGGUAAUCACGCGCAGAGUGCAAACGCAUAAGGGGGCUUAACUGCGAGACCGACAGGUCGAGCAGGUACGAAAGUAGGAGUUAGUGAUCUUGCGGUUUAGCGUGGAAUUGCCGUUGCUCAAUGGAUAAAAGGUA